UUCGUAGUCUACCGUUUUACC
rnacentral:piRNA from 1 species